ACCUGCUCGGUGAAUAUAUUUUAACAGCCGCGGUACUCUGACCGUGCAAAGGUAGCAUAAUCAUUUGCCUUAUAAUUGAAGGCUAGUAUGAAUGGUUUGACGAGAAUUAAGCUGUCUCUUUUUAACUAAAUAUAACUUUAUUAAGAGGUGAAGAAGCCUGUAUUUUAUUGAAAGACAAGAAGACCCUAUCGAGCUUUAAAGAAUUUAGUAGAUUUACCACAUAUUAAUAAAAAAGUAAAGCAACUAAAUAUUUUGGUUGGGGCGACUGAGGAACAAACAAAGCUUCCUUUAUGCUAAUUAAAACUUACAAGUAUUGAUCCAAUUUAUUUGAUUAAAGGAAUUAGUUACCGUAGGGAUAACAGCAUAAUCUCCUUUGAGAGUUCUCAUCGAAAAGGGGGUUUGUGACCUCGGUGUUGGACCAGAAUACCCAGAAGAUGCAGCCGUCUUCAAUGGUUGGUCUGUUCGACCAUUAAAAUUCUACGUGAUCUGAGUUCAGACCGGCGUGAGCCAGGUCAGUUUCUAUCUUCAAUUUUUAUAGUGGCCUUAGU
rnacentral:rRNA from 1 species